rnacentral:rRNA from 1 species
GCUACGAAAGGGACGACUCUAAUGAGACUGCCGGUGACAAACCGGAGGAAGGUGGGGAUGACGUCAAGUCCUCAUGGCCCUUAUAGGUGGGGCUACACACGUCAUACAAUGGCUGGUACAAAGGGUUGCCAACCCGCGAGGGGGAGCCAAUCCCAUAAAGCCAGUCGUAGUCCGGAUCGCAGUCUGCAACUCGACUGCGUGAAGUCGGAAUCGCUAGUAAUCGUGGAUCAGCAUGUCACGGUGAAUACGUUCCCGGGUCUU